GUCUCGGGACCCUGAGUCAUCGCCGCCCCCGCCGGGCCACGCCGUCUGUUUGUGCAGCGCCGGCCCCGCUGGCCCGGCCUGACGUCAAACCGGCGGGGCCAGGAACCGCGGGGGGCGGCCGCUGGGGACCGGACGUCGCUCCAGGGCCGGGGAGGCGACCGCAGUGCAGGGCACACCCUGGGUUCCAGGCGCCCAUCUGUCCAGGGGACCUUCAGUGCCAACACUGAAGAUGGAGCAGCAAAUAAGACGGACAGCCUGCCCUCUGGCACUCACAGCCCAGGUGGGAGACACAUCUGGAACAGAUGAGAAAACCAAGGCUCAGAAGAAUGGAUAACUGGCCGGCGCCACACAGCAGCGGGAAGGAGGACUGGGCUUCCGAGUCCCUAGCUGCUCUCUCCUGGUCCCCGCUGCCACGACCCUCUAAACCAUGAACCGCGAGUGCAAAAGGCAUCCCCCCGCAGGACACCCUACUCUCCCGCCCCCAAACCCACACGUGACCCUGGCCUGAUGGGGCAUCUCUGUGGAGCACAAAGGGGGGUCGCCAGGCAGAGAAAGAGCCCCCCAGGCGAGGAGCCGGCUCCACGGGCGCUUUUCUCCUGCUUUCUUCCUCGCUCAGCUCUUUGUUAAGCUCCCUUUCAGCUGAGCCGGCAGAGCCUGGGUGUUCUGCGCUGACAAUAAUUGCUGCGUCUAGACAGUGUCUGGUAUGAGCCUCCCUCUCCGGUGCUCGCAGGCCUCCCUGGCUCCCUUUCCCAGCCCUGCGGCCUGCCCCACACCCUCCCUUUCCCACAGCCCUUCCCCUCUGGCCUGCCUGUCCCCCGUCCUGCCUCCCUCCUGCAAGGACCCUCACUUCUCUCUCCCUCUCCCGCUCCCACCCUCAGGCGCACAUUCACCCUGUCCAUCCCCGAGGCCUGAAAUGCAGGGGACAGAGGUGUCUUUGCAUUUGGCUCUGGCUGGGAGACGUUUGGGGAGACUGAGCCCAGCAACACGCCCCCCCCCCCCCCCCAUCCCAGGGGCUGGGGACUGCUCACCUCACUGGACUCUGGGCCGAGCUGGGAGGCUCUGGGAUUCUUUCCAUCCAGGCCUGGAUGGGAACCCAGAGAAACCAGCCCCAGAGGGACCUAGGGUCAGUACAAGGAAGAACUUUCUGGUGACAAAGACCGUCAGACAUGGAUGGAGCAGUUUCAGGAGAUACAGGGGUGGGAGGUCAAUGUUCACAAGUUCUAAAGCCCAUCCCUGCCCUGACUCACAUCAGCAAUUCUGGAAGAUUCCCCAGAAGCUCCAGUCUCCUCGCUGGUGUCAGAAUUGAGGCCCUUGGAGUGAUCCUAACACAGUAAUGAUACCAUCCAGUGUUUGCUCAGCCCUUUUCCAGCUCCAACCACUGCAAAUCGUCCACAUAUCCACUUAUGUAAUACUCCCAACAGCCCUGGGAGGGAGGGAGGCAGGGCAGGAGAGAGAGAGAGAGAGAGAGAGAGAGAGAGAGAGAGAGAGAGAGGGAGAAAGCCUAUGAUUUGUCCCAUUUUACAGAUGAGGAAACUGAGGCCGAGAGGUUAAGUAACUUGCCUAAAGUCAAAGCCAGUAAGUGGAGGAGCCUGGAUUUGAAGCCACAGAGGCUGGCUCUGGAACCCCACUAACCACCAGUAAUAGGAACAGCUAAAUGCUUACUGAGUGCUGGGGCUGAGAGGAGCCCUUGGCAUGAACCAUUCCUUUGUCCUCACAGCACUGCUGGGAAGGACCGAGGGUUGCGCCCAUUGUACAGGUUAAAAGAGAACAGCCCAGGGCGGCGGGUGCAGCCAGAGGCGGACCUAACUCCGCAUCACGGGCUUGGCAUGGAGCAGAAGCUCAAUAAACGCUGCCAUCCCAUUCCCACUCCCGCCCUGGGCUUCCUUGAGCCCUUCCUGGCACACGGCCCCGGCCAGGCUGGGAGAGACAGAAGCCAACGUGCGUUCUGUCCAUGAGACCACGGCCCGGAGUGGGCGGGCCCGUCAGCCAGUGUCCAUCUGGAGGGGCUUCUGCUGAGGCCAGGGACCCAGGGCCUGGGAGUCAGGGGAGGGGCCUGCAUCCAGGAAGUCUUUCUGCAGGAGGAGGAGCCAGCCCUGCCCUGGAGGAUGAGGAAGAGCCAGCCGGGCCACGAGUGGACCAGCCGUGCAGGUGAGGGAGCCGGUGUGCUCCUGCAGGAAGCGGGCCUUCAGAGGCCGGCACAGGCGGCUCAGGGAGGAGGAGUACCAAGGGAGAAUCAUCUGGAACCUUUGCAGGAUGGUCUAGAAAGCAAACCUGGAGGCCAGGAGGCUGGGAGGAGGCCCCUGCGAGUGGCUCCUCCUUCCCAGCAGAUUCGUCCUCCCCUCCGGCCACUCCUCCCCCUGCAGAGCCAUUUUGAUUCUUCGCCUCCUCCCUGCUCCUGGGCUGCCAGGAACCUCUCACGUCCAGUCAGAGAUGGAAGGGGGAUGCUCGCCAUUCAUUCAUCACCCGGCCAUCGAGGCAGAUGUCAGCAGCGCAAGCCCCUGGGCCUGAGCAUCUCUCAGCCGCCAAGGCCGGUCCGGCAGAUCCAUGGAUGAGCUCCGUGCCCGCCACCGCGGCCUGCCUCGGGGCCCUGCGGCCAGGGGCCUGUGUCGCGGCUCCCCAGGCCUUGACUUGACUUGGAACGCCCAGCAUGGUCCUAUGGCAGGGGGAAGGGGGCUGUGGGCCAGCAGAGACAGCACCUCCUGUCUGUGGGUGAUGAAAUGCUGUCCUGGGAGGUUACGGGCCGGUGAAGGAGGGAAACAAGAGCAGCCGGUGACACAGCUGGUGAUGGUCCGCGGCAGGAACGGUGAAGACCCGCACACACAAGCUCCCCAUCCCUGACCCCAAAUCCCUGGUAGGCAGACAGUCCCCCACUCGGAACGUUUCCAGUUGUGGAAAGACACAUGCUACACAUUUCCCAGUCCCCCGCUGACGCAUGGGGCAGCCCCUGUAAUCAGACAUGAAUCUGUCUGCAGCAACGCAUAUGGACAAAGAUCCUAUCUGAUAAUAGACAAACAUGGUAAUUGACCGUACCUUCGCUAUGCCUCCCAUUGGCUAUUCAGUGUGAUAUGCAAAUUAACCGCCAACAAAGAUGGCGGCUAAUUUGCAUACGCAGGCAGGGCGGGACAGCGCCAUCCCGCCUGCCCCGCCACCAUCUGGGCCUGCUAUCUGUGACCCGGGGCGGCGGGCGUCCGUGUACAACCCGACCCGGGGUGGCCGGGCGGGGCAGCAGCAAUCCACUGGCCCACCCGGCCACCGUCCAGGCGUCUUGUAUGCGACCCAACCCGGGGCGGCGCCCCAACCCCCUGAUCGGCCCUGCUGUGUGCGCGACCCGGGGAGGCGGGGCAUGCGCCAAGGGAUCGGGCCUGCCAUCUGCCACCCGGGGAGCGGGCCUAAGCCAGCAGGUGGUUAUCUCCCGAGUGGUCCCAGACUGUGAGGGGGCAUAAGUGGGGCUGAGGGACACCCCCCAUCCCCCCACCCCCUCCAGUGCACUGGGCCUCUAGUUAUAAAUAAACCCGGACUCAAUUUCCUCCUCUCAAAAAUGAGGCAGCACAGCCCUCCCUGGUUUGGCUCAGUGGCUGGAGCGUUGGCCUGCGGACUAAAGGGUCCUGAGUUCAGUUCUGGUCAAGGGCAUGUGCCCAUGUUGCGGGCUCGAUCGCCAGUGUGGGGUGUGCAGGAGGCAGCUGGUCAAUGGUUCUCUCUCAUCAUUGAUGUUUCCACCUCCUCUCCCUUCUUCUCUGAAAUAAAAAUAUAUUUAAAGUAAAAACAAAGAAAGGAAGGAGGCGGCUCACAGGGUCGCCCUGAGAAGCUGGUGCCUCCCACGACACCAGCCGGCCGGCGGUGCCUCGGACACAGGCUCACGUCCUGUCCCAAGCCCUCUGCACUUUGUGCUCCUUUCUAGAACAUUCCUUCCCCAGACAUCUCGUGAGAUGCCUUUCAGGGCCCUGUGGCUCUGCUCAAAGGCCACCUCCUUAGCGAGGCUUGUCCUGACGGUCCUGUCUCCUCCCACCCCCCCACCCCC